GACGAACGCUGGCGGCGUGCUUAACACAUGCAAGUCGAACGGUGAAGCGCCUUCCUUUUUGGUGGGUGUGGAUGAGUGGCGAACGGGUGAGUAACACGUGAGUAACCUGCCCCCUUCUUCUGGAUAACCGCAUGAAAGUGUGGCUAAUACGGGAUAUUCUGGGUCUGUCGCAUGAUGGGUCUGGGAAAGAUAUUGUUUCGGUGGGGGAUGGGCUCGCGGCCUAUCAGCUUGUUGGUGGGGUGAUGGCCUACCAAGGCGGUGACGGGUAGCCGGCCUGAGAGGGUGGCCGGUCACACUGGGACUGAGACCCGGCCCAGACUCCUACGGGAGGCAGCAGUGGGGAAUAUUGCACAGUGGGCGCAAGCCUGAUGCAGCGACGCCGCGUGAGGGAUGGAGGCCUUCGGGUUGUGAACCUCUUUCGCCAGUGAAGCAGGCCUGCCUCGUUUGUGGGUGGGUUGACGGUAGCUGGAUAAGAAGCGCCGGCUAACUACGUG
rnacentral:rRNA from 1 species